GAUGAACGCUGGCGGCGUGCCUAAUGCAUGCAAGUAGAACGCUGAAGGAGGAGCUUGCUCUUUCCGGAUGAGUUGCGAACGGGUGAGUAACGCGUAGGUAACCUGCCUGGUAGCGGGGGAUAACUAUUGGAAACGAUAGCUAAUACCGCAUAACAGUAGAUAUUGCAUGAUAUUUGCUUGAAAGGGGCAAUUGCUCCACUACCAGAUGGACCUGCGUUGUAUUAGCUAGUUGGUGAGGUAACGGCUCACCAAGGCGACGAUACAUAGCCGACCUGAGAGGGUGAUCGGCCACACUGGGACUGAGACACGGCCCAGACUCCUACGGGAGGCAGCAGUAGGGAAUCUUCGGCAAUGGACGGAAGUCUGACCGAGCAACGCCGCGUGAGUGAAGAAGGUUUUCGGAUCGUAAAGCUCUGUUGUAAGAGAAGAACGAGUGUGAGAGUGGAAAGUUCACACUGUGACGGUAUCUUACCAGAAAGAGACGGCUAACUACGUG
rnacentral:rRNA from 1 species